GAUUAACGCUAGCGGAAGGCAUAAUACAUGCAAGUCGAACGGGAUAGAACUUAGCAAUAGGUUCUUGAGAGUGGCGCACGGGUGCGUAACACGUAUGCAACCUGCCCUUAAUCGGGGGAUAGCCUCUCGAAAGAGAGAUUAAUACCCCAUAAUAUAUUUGUUAGGCAUCUAAUGGAUAUUAAAACUCCGGUGAUUAAGGAUGGGCAUGCGGCUGAUUAGGUAGUUGGUGAGGUAAUGGCUCACCAAGCCAACGAUCAGUAGGGGGUCUGAGAGGAUGUCCCCCCACACUGGUACUGAGACACGGACCAGACUCCUACGGGAGGCAGCAGUAGGGAAUAUUGGACAAUGGAGGCAACUCUGAUCCAGCCAUUCCGCGUGCAGGAAUAAGGCCCUAUGGGUCGUAAACUGCUUUUGUAUGGGAAAAAAUCAUCUUACGUGUAAGGUGUUGAUGGUACCAUGAGAAUAAGGAUCGGCUAACUUCGUGCCAGCCGCCGCUGUAAUAC
rnacentral:rRNA from 1 species